ACAUGCAAGUCGAGCGGACUAAUGGGAGCUUGCUCCCAGAGGUUAGCGGCGAAGGGUGAGUAACACGUGGGCAACCUGCCCUGUAGACUGGGAUAACAUCGAGAAAUCGGUGCUAAUACCGGAUAAUAAUAGGAACUGCAUAGUUCUCAUUUAAAAGAUGGCUCCGGCUAUCACUACAGGAUGGGCCCGCGACGCAUUAGCUAGUUGGUAAGGUAACGGCUUACCAAGGCGACGAUGCGUAGCCUACCUGAGAGGGUGAUCGGCCACACUGGGACUGAGACACGGCCCAGACUCCUACGGGAGGCAGCAGUAGGGAAUCUUCCGCAAUGGACGAAAGUCUGACGGAGCAACGCCGCGUGAGUGAUGAAGGGUUUCGGCUCGUAAAGCUCUGUUGUUAGGGAAGAACAAGUGCCGUUCAAAUAGGGCGGCACCUUGACGGUACCUAACCAGAAAGCCACGGCUAACUACGUGCCAGCAGCCGCGGUAAUACGUAGGUGGCAAGCGUUGUCCGGAAUUAUUGGGCGUAAAGCGCGCGCAGGCGGUCUUUUAAGUCUGAUGUGAAAUCUCGGGGCUCAACCCCGA
rnacentral:rRNA from 1 species